rnacentral:tRNA from 1 species
AAGAAGGGUUUAAAAGAGCUGCUAACUCUUUUAUAGUUUCACUACUUUCUUU